UACGUAGGGGGCAAGCGUUGUCCGGAUUUAUUGGGCGUAAAGAGCGUGUAGGCGGUUUGGUAGGUCCGCUGUGAAAACUCGAGGCUCAACCUCGAGACGCCGGUGGAAACCAUCAGACUAGAGUCCGGAAGAGGAGAGUGGAAUUCCUGGUGUAGCGGUGAAAUGCGUAGAUAUCGGAAGGAACACCUGUGGCGAAAGCGGCUCACUGGACCAUUACUGACGCUGAGGCACGAAAGCUAGGGGAGCAAACAGG
rnacentral:rRNA from 1 species